AUGAACGCUGGCGGCGUGCCUAAUACCUGCAAGUCGAGCGAACAGACGAGGAGCUUGCUCCUCUGACGUUAGCGGCGGACGGGUGAGUAACACGUGGAUAACCUACCUAUAAGACUGGGAUAACUUCGGGAAACCGGAGCUAAUACCGGAUAAUAUAUUGAACCGCAUGGUUCAAUAGUGAAAGACGGUUUUGCUGUCACUUAUAGAUGGAUCCGCGCCGCAUUAGCUAGUUGGUAAGGUAACGGCUUACCAAGGCGACGAUGCGUAGCCGACCUGAGAGGGUGAUCGGCCACACUGGAACUGAGACACGGUCCAGACUCCUACGGGAGGCAGCAGUAGGGAAUCUUCCUCAAUGGGCGAAAGCCUGACGGAGCAACGCCGCGUGAGUGAUGAAGGUCUUCGGAUCGUAAAACUCUGUUAUUAGGGAAGAACAAAUGUGUAAGUAACUAUGCACGUCUUGACGGUACCUAAUCAGAAAGCCACGGCUAACUACGUG
rnacentral:rRNA from 1 species